GACGAACGCUGGCGGCGUGCUUAACACAUGCAAGUCGAACGGAAAGGCCCUGCUUUUGUGGGGUGCUCGAGUGGCGAACGGGUGAGUAACACGUGAGUAACCUGCCCUUGACUUUGGGAUAACUUCAGGAAACUGGGGCUAAUACCGGAAAGGAGCUCCUGCUGCAUGGUGGGGGUUGGAAAGUUUCGGCGGUUGGGGAUGGACUCGCGGCUUAUCAGCUUGUUGGUGGGGUAGUGGCUUACCAAGGCUUUGACGGGUAGCCGGCCUGAGAGGGUGACCGGCCACAUUGGGACUGAGGUACGGCCCAGACUCCUACGGGAGGCAGCAGUGGGGAAUAUUGCACAAUGGGCGGAAGCCUGAUGCAGCAACGCCGCGUGCGGGAUGACGGCCUUCGAGUUGUAAACCGCUUUCGCCUGUGACGAAGCGUGAGUGACGGUAAUGGGUAAAGAAGCACCGGCUAACUACGUG
rnacentral:rRNA from 1 species